rnacentral:rRNA from 1 species
GAUGAACGCUGGCGGCGUGCUUAACACAUGCAAGUCAAGGGGGUCCGGAGCGCAAGCUUUGGGCAACCGGCGAACGGGUGCGUAACACGUGAGCAACCUACCCAGGUGUGGGGGAUAGCCGUCCCAACGGACGGGUAAUACCGCAUACGCUCUUCUUUAGGCAUUUAGAGAAGAGGAAACCUUCGGGGCACCAUGAGGGGCUCGCGGCCUAUCAGCUAGUUGGCGAGGUAAUGGCUCACCAAGGCUACGACGGGUAGCUGGUCUGAGAGGAUGACCAGCCACAUUGGGACUGAGAAACGGCCCAGACUCCUACGGGAGGCAGCAGUGGGGAAUCUUGCGCAAUGGCCUAACGGGCCGACGCAGCGACGCCGCGUGAGGGAUGACGCUCUUCGGAGUGUAAACCUCUUUUGCCUGGAACGAAUCGUCAGCAUCAGCUGAUUUGACGGUACCGGGUGAAUAAGCACCGGCUAAACUCCGUGCCAGCA